ensembl:ncRNA lncRNA:CR44942 long non-coding RNA:CR44942
GCAAUCGAUGCCAUGAAGGGACUCACUCAUCCGGGAAUCUUCAGCCGCUUCCGCAUCAGCAUCCGCAUCCGCAUCCGCAAUCUCCAAGCCCUCCAUAUCCACAAGAUGCCAAAACAGCCAGCUAGGGGAAACCGAGUUUUCCAUUAAACAUAUUAAAAAUGAUCAGAAAAAAAAGAGGAGGAAAGUAUGCCAGAUUAUGGAGCCUUCGCUCGCAUUCGAUAGGCAGCCACCUUGAACGCUCGUCCUCCGCCUUCGCCUCCUGCUCCUCCUGCAGAUCCUUCGGCACAAGUGCUGUUAAUUAUUUGUCACUUAAGAGCCCGACACAUGCGACGCAAAUAACAACAACAAUAACGAGGUGCUCGCAUUAAUAAAACAUUAAAAUCAUUAAGUAUGCACAUAAAUACAUAAAUGGAAGCAAGGCG